rnacentral:rRNA from 1 species
GACGUAGGGGACGAGCGUUGUCCGGAUUUACUGGGCGUAAAGAGCGUGUAGGCGGCCAAGCAGGUCCGUUGUGAAAACUGGAGGCUUAACCUCCAGACGUCGACGGAAACCGCGUGGCUAGAGUCCGGAAGAGGAGAGUGGAAUUCCUGGUGUAGCGGUGAAAUGCGCAGAUAUCAGGAAGAACACCAAUGGCGAAGGCAGCUCUCUGGGACGGUACUGACGCUGAGACGCGAAAGCGUGGGGAGCGAACAGG